GAUGAACGCUGGCGGCGUGCCUAAUACAUGCAAGUCGAGCGAACAGAUAAGGAGCUUGCUCCUUUGACGUUAGCGGCGGACGGGUGAGUAACACGUGGGUAACCUACCUAUAAGACUGGGAUAACUUCGGGAAACCGGAGCUAAUACCGGAUAACAUUUGGAACCGCAUGGUUCUAAAGUGAAAGAUGGUUUUGCUAUCACUUAUAGAUGGACCCGCGCCGUAUUAGCUAGUUGGUAAGGUAACGGCUUACCAAGGCGACGAUACGUAGCCGACCUGAGAGGGUGAUCGGCCACACUGGAACUGAGACACGGUCCAGACUCCUACGGGAGGCAGCAGUAGGGAAUCUUCCGCAAUGGGCGAAAGCCUGACGGAGCAACGCCGCGUGAGUGAUGAAGGGUUUCGGCUCGUAAAGCUCUGUUAUUAGGGAAGAACAACCGUGUAAGUAACUGUGCACGUCUUGACGGUACCUAAUCAGAAAGCCACGGCUAACUACGUG
rnacentral:rRNA from 1 species